UACAUUAUUUGCUCUUCUUGACAGCAGCAAUAAGUUCCCCAACAUACUCCACUUUUUUUAUUUAUUAAAUCUAUCCCUUGAAAUUUUUUCACUCUCUCAUCAAACCCUCUGCCCAAGCCCAAAUUAAAACCCUCAUCAAACCCUCUGCCCAAGCCCAAAUUAAAACCCUCAUCUUUCCGCCGUCAUCUUCUUCCCUUGAAUCCCUUCUCCAUUGAAUCAAAACACUACAUUCACACUAAUAUUGGUAAAAAUGGGCUCUUUCUCUAAUUAUCCUCUCAUUUUUCUCAAGUUAAAGGGAGAUGUGGAAAAAUUAACAACAUCAAUCAACAAUCGAUUCAACAUAUCUACAAAAAUCAAUAAUUGCAUUCAAGUUUUCCAAAGAUCGAACCCUAAUGCAAGGUCUACUUCAAUUUUUCGAAGGCAGAAAGAAGUUCAACCUCUUGUGCUUAUAGAUCUAGAAAUUAUGAAGAUAUAUUGUCUAAUUGAUGACCUAACUUGCGAUCAAAAUUGAGUCGUAUUUUCGGGUCUCGCCUUUGGGGUAAUUGCUCUGCAUUGGCCGAGAUGGUUGUCGUAUAUCCUUGGAGUUAUUCACUUUUACAAUUCGUAGUUACUGGUGUUUUCUCUCCCUUGUCAAGCUUAAAUGAUUUCAUUACACUAUAUUCUCAAACAAAGGAGAAAUGAAAUGGAGUAUUAAGCGUUGUUGCUGUCACUAUAAUUGUAUAUUUCAUCAAAUUCAAUUAUAUAUUUUUUGUUGCAAUUUUAUGUUGGAUGAGAUUUUUUGUAUAACAUCAAUUAAAUUUAAUACAUUCCUAUUUUCUGUGGUGUUAAAUUGUAACUUGCAAUUUAUGAAUUAUCUGCCAAUUUUUAUAUAGCGUAUUAAAAAAAAAUAUCA